UACGGGGGGGGCAAGCGUUGUUCGGAAUUACUGGGCGUAAAGCGCGCGUAGGCGGCUUUGUAAGUUAGAGGUGAAAGCCCGGGGCUCAACCCCGGAACUGCCUUUAAGACUGCAUCGCUUGAAUCCAGGAGAGGUGAGUGGAAUUCCGAGUGUAGAGGUGAAAUUCGUAGAUAUUCGGAAGAACACCAGUGGCGAAGGCGGCUCACUGGACUGGUAUUGACGCUGAGGUGCGAAAGCGUGGGGAGCAAACAGGG
rnacentral:rRNA from 1 species